GUGCCAGCAGCCGCGGUAAUACAGAGGGGGCGAGCGUUAUUCGGAAUUAUUGGGCGUAAAGGGCGCGUAGGCGGCUAAGUAAGUCUCGGGUGAAAUCCCUCGGCUCAACCGAGGAACUGCCUUGGAAACUGCUUGGCUUGAGGCCGGGAGAGGAUGGUGGAAUUCCCAGUGUAGCGGUGAAAUGCGUAGAUAUUGGGAGGAACACCGGUGGCGAAGGCGGCCAUCUGGACCGGUCCUGACGCUGAGGCGCGAAAGCGUGGGGAGCAAACAGGAUUAGAUACCCCUGUAGUCC
rnacentral:rRNA from 1 species